rnacentral:lncRNA from 1 species
GGGCUCCCCAAUGCAGAACAAACGCAUAUUUUCUUCUGCCUCACCUGCUUUCAUGCCCCCUGCAACCAGGAGCCCGUGCUGUGGAUGACGUCUGUCUCACUGAUCCCUGCUUCGUUUGUGGAUAUAGUCCUCGCUGGUGUUCAUCAUCUCAUGCACUUCUAGGACUUCAGAGGCUGCCAGCUAGCGCGGUGGGAUCAUCCGUUGUUUCAUGGUGUGAUUGUUUUGGGGGAAUAUCUAGUUUUCAAGAAAGACACAACCCAAGGAAUGUAAAAAGACUAUAAAAAGAUCAUUUGUGUGUUAUCAUCAGAAACUUCUCGACUAUAUUCAUGAAGCUGAGGAGUUUUAACUGAAAAUGAUACAAGUGGGAGUGAAUGAAGGGGACAUGGAUGAGUCACUAUUCACAUUUUGGCGGUUUAUCCUGGAAAAACCAGUUCUUCCAUUCUAAGGAUAAGAGAAAAAUUUCCAGAUUAAUUAAGAAAUUUAGUAGCUCAAAUGAAGACUAUCAAAUGUUAAGAUUCUGCAAGACCUCAAGAUUCUGCAAGACAGCAGCUGCUGUGGAGCUAAGAAAUGAAUGGAAAUGCCAGAGAUCAUGCAGUGCUAAAAGAUAA